rnacentral:rRNA from 1 species
GAUGAACGCUAGCUACAGGCUUAACACAUGCAAGUCGAGGGGCAUCAGGAAGAAAGCUUGCUUUCUUUGCUGGCGACCGGCGCACGGGUGAGUAACACGUAUCCAACCUGCCCUUUACUCGGGGAUAGCCUUUCGAAAGAAAGAUUAAUACCCGAUAGCAUAAUGAUUCCGCAUGGUUUCAUUAUUAAAGGAUUCCGGUAAAGGAUGGGGGAUGCGUUCCAUUAGGUUGUUGGUGAGGUAACGGCCCACCAAGCCUUCGAUGGAUAGGGGCUCUGAGAGGAAGGUCCCCCCACAUUGGAACUGAGACACGGUCCAA